rnacentral:rRNA from 1 species
AGUGAACGCUGGCGGCGUGCUUAACACAUGCAAGUCGAACGGACUUUAAGGGGCUUGCUUCUUAAAGUUAGUGGCGCACGGGUGAGUAAUGUAUAGCUAACCUGCCCUUUAGUGGGGGACAACAGUUGGAAACGACUGCUAAUACCCCAUACUCCAUCUUAUCAUAAGGUAAGAUGGGAAGGAUUUAUUGCUAAAGGAUGGGGCUUUAUGGUAUCAGCUAGUUGGUGGGGUAACGGCCUACCAAGGCAAUGACGCCUACCUGGUCUGAGAGGAUGAUCAGGCACACUGGAACUGAGGCACGGUCCAGACUCCUACGGGAGGCAGCAGUGGGGAAUAUUGCACAAUGGAGGAAACUCUGAUGCAGCAACGCCGCGUGGAGGAUGACGCAUUUCGGUGUGUAAACUCCUUUUAUAAGGGAAGAUAAUGACGGUACCUUAUGAAUAAGCACCGGCUAACUCCGUGCCAGCAGCCGCCGUAAUAC